AGAUUUUAUGAUAAUUAAAAAGGAAUAAAUUAGCGCGCUCAAUAAUAAAAGAGAACUAGAUCAUAACUCGUGCUGUACAGCACGAACAUUAAUAUUUUGUAUAAAUUAAAUUGUAUACUUUGUUUGAAUUACAUAAGAAAUAGUAUAAUAUAAAAGUGAUGCCAUAAUAUUUUUCAAUGUUUUUACUAUUUGCAUAUAAUGCUGCAUUGAAUUGACUUUGUUUAAAAAUGUUAUUUUUAUAAUAAAUACAACAUAUGUAGUUUUAAGUAAAUGUGUAAAAUUUGUAUACAAGUUGUUUUGGUAAGAAACAUGUUUCCUUUGUAUUAAAGGGUCUAAUUUUUGGCCUAACUUAGAAUUAGUCUUUGUAUAGUAUUUGGAUUAUAUUUGUGGACCUAAUUGAGGCCUAUAUUAGAUUAUCUUUGAUAGGGCUGACGAAAAAACGGACCCAAUAACCAACUCAAUACCCGAACCAAAAAAACGGGUUAGGGCGGGUUAAAAUUUUAGGAAAUUUCCUUAUUGGGUAGAGUUUUAGUAAACCCGUGGAUAUCCGAUUGGUCUGGAAAUUACCUGGUACAAAACAAAGUAUUCAAAAACCCAAACAUUAAUUUAAUAUCCAAAAUAUUAAUUAUAUUUAAUCGUAAUAUUAUCUAAUUAUCUAAGAUUAUAAUUAUAAAUUUAAAUAUGUCAAUUAAUUUUGGACCUAAAUAUCCAAAACAACUAAACUAUUCAAAAAUGAUUUGUUAUGUUUGUCAAAAUUUUGUAAAAUAU
rnacentral:sRNA from 1 species